UAUCUCACAGGGCUUCACAGAUGGCGAUGAAAUGUACAAAAGUGUAUGGCAACAACAAGAGGUGAAAGGCAAAAUGUUUCAGUCAGUGUUAGGCAGACAGACGAUGCCAUCAGUCAUUGCUGAAGGCACAAAAAGUAGCAUCUCCUCAGAGUUGCCGUUAGUCAAGAGGGUGUUGUUGUUUGUUACAUGUGUUAUAGAGAAAAAAAAAAUAGUUUAUUGCUGCUCAAAGUUUACUUUUCCAUGUCCCAUUCGUUAUUUCCUUAUUUGAAUUGCCCAAUCAGGUGCAAACCCAGCAUGCUCAGUUAAUUUUUGGCAGCUGUAUUUGUUUUCUGUGGCCCGCUGACAGUAUGCGUUCUCCAUUGUUGACAUCGUAUGGUUUCAGCCUAUGCUGGACUUUCCACAGUGCAGACUGCCGCAUGCUGGGUUCCCCUGUAUAUAGGUUACUCUGCAGGUGUGCUGGGUCAGUCAUCAAGGGCUUGAUUGAACACAACAUGAAGCCAAUUACCAGCAGGUCACAUCAUACAAAUGCACAGCGAACAAUAACACUCUCAAGCAUUGACAUCAUAGUCUCAUUCACAUACUGAUAUAAAAAGCAGCACAUAAUGAAUGCGCACUGGAAACAGGUCCAACUGGUACAGCGAGGCAAUAAAUGACUCACCCAUUAAUUCAGGUGGAUGGCCUUAAAGCAGCUGUGGCGGGGUUCUCUGUCCCAUGGUGCCCAUUCAGAUGUCAACUGAAUUGUCUGUCUUUCUGCUGGCUCAUCUGGCUGUGAAGUAAUUCUCUUCUUGCCUCUAACACUUGAAGAAACUGGGUGAAAAAACCAAGAUACAAAAUAAAAAUGUGAUGGCAACUAGA